CAAUUGAGAGUUAUUUUUAGAUUAUGGGUGGUGGUGCAUGGUCAUCCUUAGAUGGAAGAGCGAUUGGUCUGGUUAAUUAUGUUAAUGAAUGAAACCUCAGCCUGCUAGCUAGCUAUGCAGACGUAUCACUUUGUGGCCAACUUCUUAGAGGGAGUACAACGUGUUAGGCCGUGAAUGUUUGAGACAAUAACAUAUUUGUGACACCCUUUGAU
rnacentral:ncRNA from 1 species